rnacentral:rRNA from 1 species
UACAGAGGUCCCGAGCGUUAUGCGGAAUCACUGGGCUUAAAGCGUGUGUAGGCGGAUUGGUAAGUACCUUGUGAAAUCCCACGGCUUAACCGUGGAACUGCUGGGUAUACUGCUUAUCUUGGGCCACUUAGGGGCUACCGGAACAAACGGUGGAGCGGUGAAAUGCGUAGAUAUCGUUUGGAACGCCAAUGGUGAAAACAGGUAGCUGGGAGUGUGCCGACGCUGAGACACGAAAGCCAGGGGAGCGAACGGG